rnacentral:rRNA from 1 species
GAUGAACGCUGGCGGCGUGCCUAAUACAUGCAAGUCGAGCGAGUCUCUUCGGAGGCUAGCGGCGGACGGGUGAGUAACACGUAGGCAACCUGCCUCUCAGACUGGGAUAACAUAGGGAAACUUAUGCUAAUACCGGAUAGGUUUUUGGAUCGCAUGAUCCGAAAAGAAAAGGCGGCUUCGGCUGUCACUGGGAGAUGGGCCUGCGGCGCAUUAGCUAGUUGGUGGGGUAACGGCCUACCAAGGCGACGAUGCGUAGCCGACCUGAGAGGGUGACCGGCCACACUGGGACUGAGACACGGCCCAGACUCCUACGGGAGGCAGCAGUAGGGAAUUUUCCACAAUGGACGAAAGUCUGAUGGGGCAACGCCGCGUGAACGAGGAAGGUCUUCGGAUUGUAAAGUUCUGUUGUUAGGGACGAAUAAGUACCGUUCGAAUAGGGCGGUACCUUGACGGUACCUGACGAGAGAGCCACGGCUAACUACGUGCCAGCCGCCGCCGUAA